rnacentral:misc_RNA from 1 species
AAGUCGUAACAAGGUUUCCGUAGGUGAACCUGCGGAAGGAUCAUUAAUAAUUUGCUGAACCUAGCGUUAGCGAGGUUCUGCGAUCACAUAUAUUUAAAACCCAACUCUUAAAUUGUAUAAUUAUGUAUUUUUUUUAAUAAAAAUUAAAGAUCACUUUCAACAACGGAUCUCUUGGCUCUC